AAGUCGUAACAAGGUUUCCGUAGGUGAACCUGCGGAAGGAUCAUUAUUGAAGGGGGACUUCGGUCCCCAAAAGGAUGUAGGCCAGCUAUUAUUUACAGCCCGUUUGGUGUUCUUGUAACAUGAUUGUCGUGAGGGCGCUUCUCCUGCCAGACCCGGCAGGCGUGGAGCCCCACAGACACCCAGUUAACUACUGUUGAAGGUGCCCCUCUUCCAAUUUGGCAGGAGUAGCAACCAGAGGUAGUCUUAACCCUUUCAAUGUGGCUAUAAUAGCUGGCAUACACUGGCUAUGUAACCCUUGUCUAUCAGUACUACUGUUUCCUCGGCAAGCUUGCUUGCCAAUGGGGACCCCAUCCAAUCUUUUUAUAUUGUUGUAACCGUAACCAAACAAAUAAUCAAAACUUUCAACAACGGAUCUCUUGGUUCUG
rnacentral:misc_RNA from 1 species